AUUGAACGCUGGCGGCAUGCCUAACACAUGCAAGUCGAACGGUUUUGGAGCUUGCUCCAAGAUAGUGGCGGACGGGUGAGUAACGCGUAGGAAUCUGCCUUGUAGAGGGGGACAACCCGGGGAAACUCGGGCUAAUACCGCAUAAUAAUCGAGAGAUGAAAGGGUGGGACCUUAGGGCCACUCGCUAUAAGAUGAGCCUGCGUUGGAUUAGCUAGUUGGUGGGGUAAAGGCCUACCAAGGCGACGAUCCAUAACUGGUCUGAGAGGAUGACCAGUCACACUGGGACUGAGACACGGCCCAGACUCCUACGGGAGGCAGCAGUGGGGAAUAUUGGACAAUGGGGGCAACCCUGAUCCAGCAAUGCCGCGUGUGUGAAGAAGGCCUGAGGGUUGUAAAGCACUUUUAGCGAUGAGGAAGGGUGUGAGUCGAAUAGACUUACGCUUUGACGUUAGUCGCAGAAAAAGCACCGGCUAACUCUGUGCCAGCC
rnacentral:rRNA from 1 species